ACUGGUGUAUCCGAAGUGGUUAUAACGGACGACACCGAUAUACCACUGUCAUCAAUCGGUUGUAUGGGCAGUGGCCGCGAGUUCGAAUCUCGCCACCAGUC
rnacentral:tRNA from 1 species